rnacentral:ncRNA from 1 species
GUUCAAAAGAGGAAAGGCUUGCGGUGGAUACCUAGUCACCCAGAGACGAGGAAGGGCGUAGCAAGCGACGAAAUGCUUCGGGGAGUUGAAAAUAAGCAUAGAUCCGGAGAUUCCCAAAUAGGUCAACCUUUUAAACUGCCUGCUGAAUCCAUGAGCAGGCAAGAGACAACCUGGCGAACUGAAA